rnacentral:rRNA from 1 species
AGGACGAACGCUGGCGGCGUGCUUAACACAUGCAAGUCGAGCGGUAAGGCCCUUUCGGGGGUACACGAGCGGCGAACGGGUGAGUAACACGUGAGCAAUCUGCCCUUCACUUCGGGAUAAGCCUCGGAAACGGGGUCUAAUACCGGAUAUGACUGCGCCAUGCAUGUGGUGUGGUGGAAAGUUCUGGCGGUGGAGGAUGAGCUCGCGGCCUAUCAGCUUGUUGGUGGGGUAAUGGCCUACCAAGGCUUCGACGGGUA